UACGUAGGGUGCAAGCGUUGUCCGGAAUUAUUGGGCGUAAAGAGCUCGUAGGCGGUCAGUCGCGUCUGCUGUGAAAACUCGGGGCUUAACUCCGGGCCUGCAGUGGGUACGGGCUGACUAGAGUGCGGUAGGGGAGACUGGAAUUCCUGGUGUAGCGGUGAAAUGCGCAGAUAUCAGGAGGAACACCGGUGGCGAAGGCGGCGUUCUGGACUGUUUCUGACACUGAAAAACGAAAGCCAGGGGAGCAAACGGG
rnacentral:rRNA from 1 species